GAGGACGGCCAUAGUGGCUUGGUUCCACCUGAUCUCGUUCGAUCUCAGAAGUUAAACAGGCCAACGUCCUUGGUUGUACUGUAUUUUAUAUGGGAAGCCAGGGAAGCUGUCCCAC
rnacentral:rRNA from 1 species